rnacentral:rRNA from 1 species
CAGCCGCCGCGGUAAUGCGAAGGGGGCUAGCGUUGUUCGGAAUUACUGGGCGUAAAGCGCACGUAGGCGGACUUUUAAGUCAGGGGUGAAAUCCCGGGGCUCAACCUCGGAACUGCCUUUGAUACUGGAAGUCUUGAGUGUGGAAGAGGUAAGUGGAAUUGCGAGUGUAGAGGUGAAAUUCGUAGAUGUUCGCAGGAACACCAGUGGCGAAGGCGGCUUACUGGUCCACAACUGACGCUGAGGUGCGAAAGCGUGGGGAGCAAACAGGAUUAGAUACCCCUGUAGUCCCUGUCUCUUAUAC